GGAUGGCUCAGUUGCUAAAGUGCUUGCCUUGUAGGCAUGAGGACCUGGGUUCAAUCCCUAGGAAGCCA
rnacentral:tRNA from 1 species